AACUUCAUCAUCCCUUCCUACCAACUAUUAGCUUCGAAAUAUACUUUGUUCUAAUGGCUAUCAACGAUCUCGCCACCAUCGAUGCCUCAAAGGAGAACUGGUCUAUUGUUGCAAAGGUAAACCGGUUGUGGCUUAGUCCGAGCUUAUAUGGCUACAAGCUUCCAUUUUCCAUGGACAUGAUUCUUAUGAUGACAAUGGUUGUAAGAUUCAUGCUACGGUUAGGAAGACUCUUAUAUACCGAUUCCAAUCUUUGCUGAGUGAAGGACGUGUAUAUCAGAUUUUGUUUUUUGGUGUUGGUGAAAGCGGUCGUGAUUUCCGUUCAACCUCGCACCCAUUCAAGAUCAACUUUGAUAUUCAUACAUUUGUGCGCUUGGUUCCCAACAAGGCCAUCAACUUAAGCCCUUACAAUUUUGUGCCAAUAUCUGAUAUAAUGUUUAAGGACCUUUAUACGUCUUUUCUUAUAGAUAUAUACUCUUUUUUAGUCUUUUGAUUUUUAAAUUACUGUUCUGGGUUUUGGAUUAAUGUUUCUAUGAUUUUGCAGAUGUGAUUGGAAUUCUCACUGGCGCAAGUGCUGAAACUGAGUUUGAGAAAGAUGGAACAAAGCAGAAAAGGAUUACUGUUGAACUUGACCAAGAUGGGUACACACAAUGUUUAAUGCUUAUUCAUAUUUUUUCCAUCUUUGAUUAUUAUGAGUAAGGUUUUAUAAUUUCUCAAUUUUCUUAAUAGAGUUCGGGUUGAAUGCGCCUUUUUUGGAAAGUAUGUUGCUGAAGUCU